rnacentral:rRNA from 1 species
UUAAUUUGAGAGUUUGAUCCUGGCUCAGGACGAACGCUGGCGGCGUGCCUAAUACAUGCAAGUCGAACGAACUCUGGUAUUGAUUGAUGCUUGCAUCAUGAUUUACAUUUGAGUGAGUGGCGAACUGGUGAGUAACACGUGGGAAACCUGCCCAGAAGCGGGGGAUAACACCUGGAAACAGAUGCUAAUACCGCAUAACAACUUGGACCGC